rnacentral:rRNA from 1 species
GUUAAAGCGUGGAGCUUAACUCCAUCAUGGCAGUGGAAACUGAAAGGCUUGAGUAUGGUAGGGGCAGAGGGAAUUCCCGGUGUAGCGGUGAAAUGCGUAGAUAUCGGGAAGAACACCAGUGGCGAAGGCGCUCUGCUGGGCCAUUACUGACGCUCAUGGACGAAAGCCAGGGGAGCGAAAGGGAUUAGAUACCCCUGUAGUCCUGGCCGUAAACGAUGAACACUAGGUGUCGGGGGAAUCGACCCCUUCGGUGUCGUAGCUAACGCGUUAAGUGUUCCGCCUGGGGAGUACGCACGCAAGUGUGAAACUCAAAGGAAUUGACGGGGGCCCGCACAAGCGGUGGAGUAUGUGGUUUAAUUCGAUGCAACGCGAAGAACCUUACCAGGGUUUGACAUCCUGCGAACCUCUUAGAAAUUUGAGGGUGCCUUCGGGAAUGCAGUGACAGGUGGUGCAUGGCUGUCGUCAGCUCGUGUCGUGAGAUGUUGGGUUAAGUCCCGCAACGAGCGCAACCCACGUUUUUAGUUGCCAGCAUUUAGUUGGGCACUCUAGAAAGACCGCCGGUGAUAAACCGGAGGAAGGUGUGGAUGACGUCAAGUCAUCAUGCCCCUUACACCCUGGGCUACACACGUACUACAAUGCUACGGACAAAGGGCAGCAAACUCGCGAGAGCUAGCAAAUCCCAUAAACCGUGGCUCAGUUCAGAUCGUAGGCUGCAACUCGCCUACGUGAAGUAGGAAUCGCUAGUAAUCGCAGGUCAGCAUACUGCGGUGAAUACGUUCCCGGGCCUUGUACACACCGCCCGUCACACCAUGGAAGUUGGCCAUGCCCGAAGUCGUUACUCCAACCCUUGUGGAGGAGGACGCCGAAGGUGGGGCUAAUGACUGGGGUGAAGUCGUAACAAGGUAGCCGUA